rnacentral:rRNA from 1 species
CCCUUAGAUGUUCUGGGCCGCACGCGCGCUACACUGAUGCAUUCAACAAGCCUAGCCUUGACCGAGAGGUCCGGGUAAUCUUUGAAACUGCAUCGUGAUGGGGCUAGAUUAUUGCAAUUAUUAAUCUUCAACGAGGAAUGCCUAGUAAGCGUGAUUCAUCAAAUCGCGUUGAUUACGUCCCUGCCCUUUGUACACACCGCCCGUCGCUCCUACCGAUUGAGUGUGUUGGUGAGGAGUUCGGAUUGGCUCUUAGUGGUGGUUCGCCACCACCUAGAGCUGAGAAGUUCUCCAAACCGCCCCACUUAGAGGAAGGAGAAGUCGUAACA